rnacentral:rRNA from 1 species
AUACGUAGGUGACAAGCGUUAUCCGGAUUUACUGGGCGUAAAGGGCGUGUAGGCGGUCUUGCAAGUCAGAAGUGAAAUUCCUGAGCUCAACUCGGGCGCUGCUUCUGAAACUGCAGGACUUGAGUGCUGGAGGGGAUAGCGGAAUUCCUAGUGGAGCGGUAAAAUGCGCAGAUAUUAGGAGGAACACCGGUGGCGAAGGCGGCUUUCUGGACAGUAACUGACGCUGAGGCGCGAAAGCGUGGGGAGCAAACAGGAUUAGAUACCCUGGUAGUCCACGCCAUAAACGAUGAAUACUAGGUGUAGGGGGUAUCGACCCCCUCUGUGCCGACGUUAACACAUUAAGUAUUCCACCUGGGGAGUACGGCCGCAAGGCUGAAACUCAAAGGAAUUGACGGGG